AUGCGUGUCGCAGCUCAGGAGUCCAAGACCACACAGUGUCCUGAACUGAAGCAAUCCAGCGGGUGGGCAUUUUGUUUCAUCCAUCCAAAAGGGUCAGAGCUGGUCUGCAAACGGCCUAUUUUGUCUCUCCAUUCAUGGAAGAUGAUCAUCUUUUUAUCUUCAUCUGUGCCUUUUCUGAAAGGUUCUCAAGAGUAAAACGAUGUGUGGCCUCCUCUAUAUAAAGCACUUAGCCGUGUUGAUGCAAUAUUUUCAGCUAAGCUCUGUCCUUCCUUGCCAUCAUCUAACCUGACCUCUGCACCUAGAGAUUUCUAAAGAGUUUAGCCCAAAUCAGGGUGAGUAUUCCUCCUGUUCUCCACUCAAGAAAAAAAAGUGGUUACUCUUACCUUCUGGUUAAACCAGAGGGCUUAGGGAUGUGACAGAUCUCUGUCUCCAGGAUAAGCACGACUUUGUGAUUACUUCAUACAAUCACAGAAUGGCUUGGGUUGGAAGGGACCUCAAAAUUCCAGCACCCUGCCAUGGGCAGUGUGGCCAACCACAGGAUCAAUCAUAGAAUCAUACAAUCAUUAAGGUUGGAAAAGACCACUAAGAUCAUUUAGUGCAACCGCCCACCCACCACCAAUCUUGCUCAAUAAACCAUGUGAACAGUCCCAGUUCCCUCAGAUGCUCCCCAUUAAGACUUCUGCUCCAGGCCCUUCACAGCUUCAUUGCCCUCCUCUGGACACGCUCCAGGAUCUCGAUGUCUUUCUUGUAGUGAGGGGCACAAAA
rnacentral:lncRNA from 1 species